CCCUUAGAUGUUCUGGGCUGCACGCGCGCUACACUGAUGCACUCAACGAGUUUACGACCUUGCCCGAUAGGGUUGGGUAAUCUUUUUAAAAUGCAUCGUGAUGGGGAUAGAUUAUUGCAAUUAUUAAUCUUCAACGAGGAAUUCCUAGUAAGCGCGAGUCAUCAGCUCGUGCUGAUUACGUCCCUGCCCUUUGUACACACCGCCCGUCGCUCCUACCGAUUGAGUGCUCAGGUGAAUAAUUCGGACUGCAGCAAUGUUUGGAUCCCGAACGUUGCAGCGGAAAGUUUAGUGGACCUUAUCACUUAGAGGAAGGAGAAGUCGUAACA
rnacentral:rRNA from 1 species